ACUGCGGCAUAUUUUAAUUUUAAUUUCUUAUUCGAAUAAAUACUGAUAUAAAAAAAAUAAACAAUAAUAAUUAAAUUUUAAAUAUUUAUUUUAUUAAAAUUCUAACUUAUAAAAUAAAAUUAAAGGUAUUUUAAAAUUCCAUAUUUUGUAUUGAUAGCUUGAAGAUUUAUUUUUUAUAUGACUGCGGCGUAUAUUAAUUUCUUAUUCGACUCUGUGAAUGACUCAGAAAAUGUUAGUAACUAUGACAAAAAUGAGGACGUGGACGACAUUAACCUAAUGCCUGAUGAUAGCCGCAUUCUGUUUGCAUGCAUCACGAAUUGAGAAAGGAGGCAUAUGAAUUCCCUGAUCUUAUAAAAGAUGAGAUCAAGGAUUAUCUCGAUGAUAAAGUAGCGUCCCCUACAACGAAUAUACUAGAUUGGUGGGAAAAAAAUAGCCUUAUCUAUCCUACAUUGUCGCUGAUUGCAAAAGAUUUUCUUGCCCAGCAAUCAUCAAGUGUGCCGAGUGAGAGAGCCUUUAGCAAGACAGUGGAUUUCCUGACCAAAAAAAGAAAUAGGAUGUCACCAUCCACCUUAAAGCAUUGUUUAUCCUUGAAUAACUGGGAUAUCGAUAUAUGGCAAUAAUAUCUAUAUUUUUUUCCUUAUGUUAUACCAUAUAAUAUUUUUUCUUAUGUUAUACCAUAUAAUAUUUUUUCUUAUGUUAUAUUUAUAUUAUUAUAUCUUAUUUAGAAACAGAAAAAUAAAGUAAAUUAUGUAA